ACCCUCCCGGGCAGCCUGCAACACAUCCUGUGACCUACGCUCCACACUGGAGGUCAUCAACUGUGCCAACUGCGGGAUACACUUCCUCACCUGCAAAGACCCCACUCUCUGCCCAGCCGUGACCCAGAGGACCCUCGUGUGGGCUGUGAGCCUCAGCAUUGCUCUGCCCCUGGCAGCCAUAGCCGGAGGUGGGUGAGUGACUUCUCCAAGCCCCAGCGUCCCCAAGGAAGACACACCUACUCCUUGACUGACCCAUCUCCACCCUGUUUCCUGG